GUUUCUGUAGUGUAGCGGUUAUCACGUUCGCCUCACACGCGAAAGGUCCCCGGUUCGAAACCGGGCAGAAACA